rnacentral:rRNA from 1 species
CCUACGGGAGACAGCAGUGUGGAAUAUUGCUCAAUGGGCGCGAGCCUGAUCCAGCCAUGUAGCGUGAAGGAUGACUGCCCUACGGGUUGUAAACUUCUUUUAUAAAGGAAUAAAGUGAGGCACGUGUGCCUUUUUGUAUGUACUUUAUGAAUAAGGAUCGGCUAACUCCGUGCCAGCAGCCGCGGUAAUACGGAGGAUCCGAGCGUUAUCCGGAUUUAUUGGGUUUAAAGGGAGCGUAGAUGGGUUGUUAAGUCAGUUGUGAAAGUUUGCGGCUCAACCGUAAAAUUGCAAUUGAUACUGGCAGUCUUGAGUACAGUUGAGGUAGGCGGAAUUCGUGGUGUAGCGGUGAAAUGCUUAGAUAUCACGAAGAACUCCGAUUGCGAAGGCAGCUUACUAAACUGCCACUGACAUUGAUGCUCGAAAGUGUGGGUAUCAAACAGGAUUAGAUACCCCGGUAGUC